AUUGAACGCUGGCGGCAGGCCUAACACAUGCAAGUCGAGCGGAUGAAGGGAGCUUGCUCCUGGAUUCAGCGGCGGACGGGUGAGUAAUGCCUAGGAAUCUGCCUGGUAGUGGGGGAUAACGUCCGGAAACGGGCGCUAAUACCGCAUACGUCCUGAGGGAGAAAGUGGGGGAUCUUCGGACCUCACGCUAUCAGAUGAGCCUAGGUCGGAUUAGCUAGUUGGUGGGGUAAAGGCCUACCAAGGCGACGAUCCGUAACUGGUCUGAGAGGAUGAUCAGUCAAAAUGGAAAUGAAAAAGGGGCAAAAACCCCAGGGGGGGCAGAAGGGGGGAAUUUGGGAAAAUGGGGGAAAGCCGGACCCAGCCAUGCCGGGGGUGGGAAGAAGGUUUUCGGAUGGUAAAGAAUUUUAAGGGGGGAGGAAGGGGAGAAAGUUAAAACCUUGCUUUUUUGACUUGAAAAACAAAAUAAGCACCGGAAAACUUCGG
rnacentral:rRNA from 1 species